GCAGCGCCCGUGUGUUCGGUGGCGUGGUGUCCCCGGGACUGAAAGGGCAGGGCGGAGCGAGUCGUGACCGAGGGUGGAAAGUGCUCGGCUCCCCCGUCCCUCCUGUCUGGUGGAGGAGCGGCGUUCGGAAUUUUUCGAAAGAGGCGCCGUUUCGGCAAGGUUGUUUUGUCCGAUUUGCCGCCGUGUAAGUGCCUGUCGCUUGAGGAGGUGAAGCUGGAUGUCAGCGUUGGAGGUGACGUGUGCCCGGUGAGCCGUGAGCGCUAGGCAGAAGCCGUUGCUGUCGCUGAAGUCUGACUCGGUGGUGCCAGUCUAAGCCUCCAGGAUGAGAGUUUGUCUGCCUGUGAUGCCAUUCCUUGAAGGAAGGGGAGAAUGUUCGAGCUUCUGGGCCACCCUGCAUCUUUUGGAUCUUGUCAGCCUGUCAGUUUCCUACGGCUUCCUCCUCCGAGUCUCCUGAUGG